rnacentral:tRNA from 1 species
GCGCUCUUAGUUCAGUUCGGUAGAACAUGGGUCUCCAAAACCCAAUGUCGUAGGUCAAAUCUACAGAGCGUG